rnacentral:rRNA from 1 species
GAUGAACGCUGGCGGCGUGCCUAAUACAUGCAAGUCGAGCGAACGGACGAGAAGCUUGCUUCUCUGAUGUUAGCGGCGGACGGGUGAGUAACACGUGGAUAACCUACCUAUAAGACUGGGAUAACUUCGGGAAACCGGAGCUAAUACCGGAUAAUAUUUUGAACCGCAUGGUUCAAAAGUGAAAGACGGUCUUGCUGUCACUUAUAGAUGGAUCCGCGCUGCAUUAGCUAGUUGGUAAGGUAACGGCUUACCAAGGCAACGAUGCAUAGCCGACCUGAGAGGGUGAUCGGCCACACUGGAACUGAGACACGGUCCAGACUCCUACGGGAGGCAGCAGUAGGGAAUCUUCCGCAAUGGGCGAAAGCCUGACGGAGCAACGCCGCGUGAGUGGUGAAGGUCUUCGGAUCGUAAAACCCUGUUAUUAGGGAAGAACAUAUGUGUAAGUAACUGUGCACAUCUUGACGGUACCUAAUCAGAAAGCCACGGCUAACUACGUG